ensembl:lncRNA
GGACCAUGAAGCUUCACGUCCAUAUUCACUUGUGGUCUGCAAGUAGCACUGCCCAGACUCCAAGUCCUUUUGCCCCGAAAACCGCAUCUGACCACCAGGACCUUAGGGAAACCACGGCCUGAUGGAGGUAUAAAGAGAGAGAGAUGGAGAGAGACGGAGAGGCUUUGGCCCCACAGCAGCCGAUGGUGGUAUUAAAAUAUUAAUUGCUUUUUGACAUUAUUUGGUUGCGGGUGGGUCGGAGAGCACUUGUUUUACACUGAAGGCCACACACUAAAACACACUUCAUUCUGCCUCUACCUAAAUACAGCGCUGAGUCUAAUAUGUGAAAUGCUACAAAGGACUGUAAUGGAAUAAAUAUGCUAGACUCAAUUUCCA